AUGUUCUCCUCGCAGUCGCUCAGUCGCGUCAACAACAUCAGAACCUAUCUGGUGAACGCGCAAAAGGGCAACAAGAGCGUCGCCACCUACUUCGCCGAGAUGCGCGGCUUCGCAGAUGAACUGGCCGCCGCCGGGAAGCCUCUCCAGGACGAUGAACUCAUCUCCUACAUCCUCCACGGCCUCGACAUGGAUUACCAGCCGCUCGUCUCCGCCCUCGACGCCCGAACCUCCCCGGUAUCCCUCGAUGAGCUCUUUGCAAUGCUUAGUAAUUUUGAUCAGAGGGUGGCACAGUACCAGGGAUCGGGCGGCUUCAAGUCGUCGGCUAACGCAGCAGUGCGUGGGCGCGGUGGCUACUCCCGUCAUCGUGGCCUGCCUCGCUCCAAGGGCAAGCAAGGGAGCGGCGGCAGCAGCGGCGGG
rnacentral:rRNA from 1 species